rnacentral:rRNA from 2 species
CUCUCGGCAACGGAUAUCUCGGCUCUCGCAUCGAUGAAGAACGUAGCGAAAUGCGAUACUUGGUGUGAAUUGCAGAAUCCCGUGAACCAUCGAGUCUUUGAACGCAAGUUGCGCCCGAAGCCGUCAGGCCGAGGGCACGCCUGCCUGGGCGUCACA